ACACCGCUGCCUGACUGACAGCUGAGGUAAUUAUACUUCCACAGUGGCAGUAACCCCAGCGCAACCUCUAAGGCUGAGUCCUCGCACCCUGGCCCUGACGAGGCCUGGCACGGAGGCUAAAGGCAAAACGAGGGGGACUCAAGACUGAACUGACCAAUCAGGAGGAAAGAGGAGAUGAAGAUUAGCAGGAAGGAGAUUAUUCAGGCGAGCGCAACGAGGGAACGUGCGAGCGGUGGAUACGGGUGACAGCCACUGUGUACCGCUGCGCUAACAGGCACAGGACUAAAAUAAACCUGCAAGAUUGAGCAGAGGUCAACGUUGAUGGCCUGUCUGCUCCGUGUUCUGCAUGGUGCUGCCGAGGCUGAGCGGGUCCGACUCCCGGUGCCGGUCGUGUUCAGUCCGUGCCUACUGUACGUGGGCUCUGUCCGGCUCCAGCUUCCUUGUCCAGUCCCAGCCGGCAGGUGAAUCUACAGAAAUGAAAUGAGCAAGAAAACUGCUAUGAUGAUAUGAUGGACCUGGUGCACAGUCUCCAUCUCUGCUUCACAUAAUUAGGCGUCUGAAACAAACGUUGCUGUCUUUGUAUGACAGAAUCAGCAUGACAAUGCACUGUGAUCCUCUGAGCCAAUCACAAUGCUCUCUAAGAGGCGGCGUCCAACCAAGGAAGAGGUGGAAGAUGAGGUGUGGGGGGGACAUAAACGAUGCAACAGAAGAAGAAAGAGAGAGAUGUUCAUGGUUUAAGGCUCAGGCGUCGAUGAAGAGCUAUUAAUACAAGCGUAAUGUUUCCCAACACCUGGGGGUAAUAAACACAACCUCCGUGCCGCUAACGCUGCCUCGUUUCCAUGUUGAUUACACUGGUUGCACUGAACUGACCUGUUAUUUUCCUGACGACGUGCCAAAGGGCCACAUGUCGUGCAGAUCAACCAUCAGGAUCAGUCGCUUUCAGAGUCAGGAUGUGCCACUCGUUGUUGUAUUCCGGUACCACUUUACAUGCAUGACUGUGAAUAAUAAGACUGUUAAGGCCGCGUGUGUCACACACACACACACACGCACGCACGCACGCACGCACGCACGCACGCACGCACGCACGCACGCACGCACGCACGCACGCACGCACACACACACACACACACACACACACACACACACACACACA